GCCUGGCUGGCUCAGUUGGUUAAGCAUCUGAUUUUGGCUCAGGUCAUGAGCUCGCGGUUCGUAGGUUCAAGAUCCAUGUCAGGCU
rnacentral:tRNA from 1 species